GUUCCAUUCAGUUAAAGCACGAUUCCUCUCCGACACACAGACCAAAAGGAUACAAACAGACCAACAGUCAGGAAGAGGAAGAUGAAGAUGAUUGGACACCAAGACCCACCAGUGCGACGAAAUAUACAGGCAAAGCCAAGCAGGAGCCAAAACUUUCAAACAGAACAGAAAAUGAAGCUGAAGAUGACUCGACAGUAAAAGUUAACCACUCCUCUGAUAAUGUGAAGGAAGACAAAUGUACCACAGGAGCUCAGAACGCCGAAAAUAUCUAUGAAGAUCAUUGGACUCCUACAAUGAAAAAAUUAAAGAAAUAUCCUUAAAUGAUGACUGUAAUCCUAAUGAUAACUGGAAUCCUAAGGAUUUAAGUUCCUCCAAAAAUUCGGUUGAAGUUAGUGAGAAUGGUGAUAUGGAUUCUGGCUAUUUUGACACAAAACCAACAGUUUCAAGCCCUAGUCUUCAAUCCAGACAGCCCUCGUGCACAGGAUUCUUACUUAAUUGUACUGUUCAACCACAAGAAAUUCAUAAAGCAACUGGGAAGAAUGGAACGCAGCAUUUAGUGCCAAUCACAAUUUGUGUAGCAAACUCCCCAUCUGACUUUUAUUUUCAGCUGAACUCAGAAGCAGAAGGUCUAAAAUCUUUGAUGAAUAAAAUGAAUCAAUUUUACCUUGGAACUCAGAAACAUCUUGGUCCAACUGAUAUUACAAUUGGAAGCAUUUAUGUUGCAAAAUUGCCUCCCAGUGGAAAAUGGCACAGGGUUCGAGCUCUAUCAGAUUUAAAUAGUGGAAAUGAAGUUGAUGUUUUUUCAAUUGAUUAUGGACUCACCGGCAAGGUGCAGUGUUCCGAGUUGAGGUUAUUGCACACAAAUUUUGCCAAAAUGCCCGCACAGGGAAUUCAUGCUCAGCUAAGCUUGAAACCAGCUGAAGGUGGAGAAUGGCAUCCAAUGGGUCGGCAGCUUUUCGUCAAACUAGCAGGAAGAUUCAUUUGGUCAGCAGAAGUAGUGAAAAUCAUAAACCCAAAGUCUGUUCAGCAAAAAGUUGAGGUUGUGCUGAAAGUCAAAGGAAUAGCUUCUAACUAUCUCUCAAGCCAACAGAACUCACCAGGCUCUAAUAACAAAGAGGAACAUGCUAUUAAAGAUGUAAUUAACGAGUUCAUCAGAGAUUUGACCCAUGUCUAG
rnacentral:lncRNA from 1 species